UUGAUCCUGGCUCAGGAUGAACGCUAGCGGCAGGCUUAACACAUGCAAGUCGAGGGGCAGCAUGUCCAGCAAUGGAUGAUGGCGACCGGCGGAAGGGUGCGUAACGCGUGAGCAACAUGCCCUAUACAGGGAGAUACACCAGGGAAACUUGGUCUAAUAUCCCAUAGCAUUCAUUGAAGGCAUCUUUAAUGAAUUAAAGCUUCGGUGGUAUAGGAUUGGCUCGCGUGACAUUAGCCAGAUGGUGAGGUAACGGCUCACCAUAGCAAUGAUGUCUAGGGGUUUUGAGAGGAAGGCCCCCCACACUGGGACUGAGACACGGCCCAGACUCCUACGGGAGGCAGCAGUGAGGAAUAUUGGACAAUGGAUGGAAAUCUGAUCCAGCCAUGCCGCGUGCAGGAAGACGGCCUUAUGGGUUGUAAACUGCUUUUAUACGGGAGCAAUAAGGGUUACGAGUAAUCCGAUGAGAGUACUGUAUGAAUAAGGAUCGGCUAACUCCGUGCCAGCAGCCGCGGUAAUACGGAGGAUCCGAGCGUUAUCCGGAAUUAUUGGGUUUAAAGGGUGCGUAGGCGGCCAUUUAAGUCAGCGGUGAAAUUUUGCAGCUUAACUGUAACAGUGCCGUUGAUACUGUUUGGCUAGGAUUUGGUUGUAGUGUGCGGAAUGUGUGGUGUAGCGGUGAAAUGCUUAGAUAUCACACAGAACACCGAUUGCGAAGGCAGCACACUAAGUCAUUAUUGACGCUGAGGCACGAAAGUGUGGGGAUCAAACAGGAUUAGAUACCCUGGUAGUCCACACUGUAAACGAUGAUAACUCGCUGUCGGCGAUACACAGUCGGGGCCAAGCGAAAGC
rnacentral:rRNA from 1 species